AUGCUAGCUAGAGAUUACUGUGAAGAUAUAAAUAGGGAAACCAAACCAGCAAUUAUGCUGCACAAUAUGCUACCUAUUUUACUAGAAGACCCUGAAUUCCAGGACUUGAGAGAUCCAGAUCGGACUAUCUUCAUGCACGAUAACGAGGAGGAUUUAAAUAGGAAAAUACUUUGGUCUUUCUGCCCUCCAAAAAUAGCAACAUGUAACCCUUGUUUGGAGUACAUCAAAUAUGUUAUAUUCCCUUGGUUUGGAAAGUUGGCGAUAGUUCAUAAGGAAGGGAAUGGUUAUAACAGGACAUAUACAAACAUGGAACAACUUCUCCUUGAUUAUGAAAGUGGUGAUAUUGAUUCAACUGAUGUUAAACUGGCUUUUGAAAAGGCAAUGAAUAAAAUAUUAGAGCCUGUUCGCAGCCACUUCCGUGGCAACACCGAAGCCCAAGAUCUAUUUAUUGGCCGGAGUUGCAGAAGCAAAUCACUGCAGAUACCUGGAAGAUUAUAUUGCAGAACGAAGAGGUUACAGCUCCUUGGUGAAGUCCCGGACGCAUGA
rnacentral:rRNA from 1 species